CCUACGGGUGGCAGCAGUGGGGAAUAUUGCACAAUGGGGGAAACCCUGAUGCAGCGACGCCGCGUGAGUGAAGAAGUAUUUCGGUAUGUAAAGCUCUAUCAGCAGGGAAGAAAAAGACGGUUACUGGUCAAGAAGCCCCCGCUAACUAAGGGCCAGCCGCCGCGGGAAUAAGGAGGGGGCAAGCGUUAUCCGGAUUUACCGGGUGGAAAGGGGGCGUAGACGGCAGCACAAGUCUGGAGUGAAAGGCCGGGGCUUAACCCCGGAACUGCUUUGGAAAAUGGGCAGCGAGAGUGCAGGAGAGGUAAGUGGAAUUCCUAGUGUAGCGGUGAAAUGCGUAGAUAUUAGGAGGAACACCAGUGGCGAAGGCGGCUUACUGGACUGUAACUGACGUUGAGGCUCGAAAGCGUGGGGAGCAAACAGGAUUAGAUACCCGAGUAGUC
rnacentral:rRNA from 1 species